UAGCCAGGGUGAACUUAAAAAUUGUCACUGGGUCUGGAUGUUGGGGAUCAGCAAACGUGGGUCACUUAUGGGUGAGGCCCUCUAAGAGAGUGGUGUGGGGUGAAGCCCUCCCUGGCCUCCACAUUAUUUGUGUUAGCCCCUUGUAGAGACCCAAAAAAUGGGGCCAGAGAUGGGCGUACAAUUACAGCAAGAUCGUAGUGAAAGAAAAACCGAGGAGCACAUCCUGCUACUCUGAUUUAGUUUUCCCAAGACCAGGCAAAGCCAAGAACGCCUAUGCUUGUAAUUCCAGAAGCUGACACUAGGGGGUGCCCGAUUCAUGGCAUGGAUGGCAAAGAUCUCAUUUGACGACAAUUUCCUGUUCCCUUUGGUUAAAAUAGUUUGG
rnacentral:lncRNA from 1 species